rnacentral:rRNA from 1 species
UACGUAGGCAGCGAGCGUUGUUCGGAUUUACUGGGCGUAAAGGGUGUGUAGGCGGUUGUUUAAGUUUGGUGUGAAAUCUCCCGGCUCAACUGGGAGGGUGCGCCGAAUACUGAAUGACUAGAGUGCGGGAGAGGAAAGUGGAAUUCCUGGUGUAGCGGUGAGAUGCGUAGAUAUCAGGAAGAACACCCGUGGCUAAGGCGGCUCUCUAGUACGGUACUGACGCUGAGACGCGAAAGCGUGGGGAGCGAACAGG